rnacentral:tRNA from 32 species
GCGCGGUUAGCUCAGCGGGAGAGCGCUUCCCUGACACGGAAGAGGUCGCUGGUUCAAUCCCAGUACCGCGCACCA